rnacentral:rRNA from 1 species
CAUACCUAUUCGAAGGGAUAGGGUCGGUUUGGCCGGAUUUCACACAGGUGUUGCAUGGCUGUCGUCAGCUCGUGUCGUGAGAUGUUGGGUUAAGUCCCGCAACGAGCGCAACCCUCAUCCUUAGUUACCAUCAGGUUAUGCUGGGGACUUUAAGGAAACUGCCAGUGAUAAACUGGAGGAAGGUGGGGAUGAUGUCAAGUCAUCAUGGCCCUUAUGGAGUGGGCUACACACGUGCUACAAUGGUGAUUACAAUGGGCUGCAAGGUCGCAAGGCGGAGCUAAUCCUAAAAAAUCAUCUCAGUUCGGAUUGUUCUCUGCAACUCGAGAGCAUGAAGUUGGAAUCGCUAGUAAUCGUGGAUCAGCAUGCCACGGUGAAUACGUUCUCGGGUCUUGUACACACUGCCCGUCACGCCAUGGGAAUUGGUUUCACUCGAAGCU